rnacentral:misc_RNA from 1 species
AUAUAAAUGAUGUAAAACAUUCAUCAGACUACCAUUUCACAAAUGAAAUCGUGAUGAGGAGAACAACAGUUUGCAGAGACUAGCUUCACAGAUCCAUCCAAUAAUACCAAAAAUCAAGUAGUCAACUUGCCAUAUAUCCCAUGGAAAUAUUCACCCUUAUUAAAAGAAAAAUCAGAUAUAAAGUUAUAAGUCCCACCCCUAAUGUCUUAGUGGGACGCAUGUCAUGUUUAGGUAAAACUACAAGUGCCCAGAUUAGCCCUGACAUGAGAAAACCAAUAGUGUAAAACAAGCUGCUGUCUUGAGGAAUCACAUAAAUGCCAGUACUCUGUGACCAGGCUCCUAGCAGCAUUGAGAU